rnacentral:snRNA from 14 species
AGCUUUGUGCAGUGGCAGCAUCAUAGCCAAUGAGGUUUAUUUGAGGUGCGAUAUUUGCUAAUUGAAAACAAAAAAUUUCCCAAAAUGU